GCCCUUGGAUGAGCCCGCGGCCUAUCAGCUUGUUGGUGGGGUGAUGGCCUACCAAGGCGACGACGGGUAGCCGGCCUGAGAGGGCGACCGGCCACACUGGGACUGAGACACGGCCCAGACUCCUACGGGAGGCAGCAGUGGGGAAUAUUGCACAAUGGGCGCAAGCCUGAUGCAGCGACGCCGCGUGAGGGAUGACGGCCUUCGGGUUGUAAACCUCUUUCAGUGCCGACGAAGCCUUCGGGUGACGGCAGGUACAGAAGAAGCACCGGCCAACUACGUGCCAGCAGCCGCGGCCGAAGGGC
rnacentral:rRNA from 1 species